rnacentral:miRNA from 1 species
CUGUUCAAUUUGAAUUUCAGAUAAAGAACAAAAAAAAUUUUAGUAUAAAUAUAUACCAUGUAAGAGUUGGGACAUACUUAUACUAAAAUUUUUUCCAUUGUUUAUUUUUAAUUAAAAU